rnacentral:lncRNA from 1 species
CGGUUGUUUUGAAAGCUCACAACCAAACUUGUUGUUUUACGAGCUCACAACGAACUCGGUCGGUUUUCCCAGGCUCACCGACUAGAACCAACCCCGAUUGUUUUCCCGGGCUCACAAUCAAACCCUUACACACGUUGGUUUUAACUUGGCUCACCAACCAACCUUAAUCCCCUUGAUUCAAUCCUCCGAUUGAACCAAGUAAAUACAAGUUAUAGACAGAAAGGAAAAUAAGCUUCUCAAAAGCAGAUAUAAAACAAUAUAAUCAAAGAGGAGUUUAGAAGCCCUCAAACGCUUUUAAGCUGAAGAAGAGGUAAGGCUU